CGAUCCGUCCCUAUGCUCGAGAAGCUUCUCAGGGCUGGCAUGAACGUUGCCCGCUUCAAUUUCUCCCAUGGAACCCAUGAAUAUCACCAGGAGACCUUGAACAAUCUUAGAAUUGCCAUGCAGAACACACAGAUCCUUUGUGCUGUCAUGCUCGAUACCAAGGGACCUGAGAUUCGGACUGGUUUCCUGAAGGAUGGAAAACCUAUUCAACUGAAGGAAGGUCAGGA
rnacentral:misc_RNA from 1 species